rnacentral:lncRNA from 1 species
AUGAAGGACGAGCGUAAGGACUAGCAGGUGGUUUUCUCGACGGUGGUUUUCUAAGUUUACCACCGGCGCCUCUUUCUGUUGACGGAUACGGUGUGAUUUGAUCGGUGUUGUCCAUGAAUCGGAAUCGGAAUCGGAGUUGAGAGUAAAGUUAUUAACUGAUCGGAAAAGUUAAGAAAGAAAAAAAAAAAUAAAUAAAUAAAUAAAUAAGGUAAAGACGAAAACGAUGGAACUAGCGGCGGCACUGACCCACUUCCUUCCAAGGUCGAGUAGCCGCGGAUUUUUUUUAUUUUUUUUN